rnacentral:rRNA from 1 species
GACGAACGCUGGCGGCGUGCUUAACACAUGCAAGUCGAACGGAAAGGCCCUGCUUUUGUGGGGUGCUCGAGUGGCGAACGGGUGAGUAACACGUGAGUAACCUGCCCUUGACUUUGGGAUAACUUCAGGAAACUGGGGCUAAUACCGGAUAGGAGCUCCUGCGGCAUGGUGGGGGUUGGAAAGUUUCGGCGGUUGGGGAUGGACUCGCGGCUUAUCAGCUUGUUGGUGGGGUAGUGGCUUACCAAGGCUUUGACGGGUAGCCGGCCUGGGAGGGUGACCGGACACAUUGGGACUGAGAUACGGCCCAGACUCCUACGGGAGGCAGCAGUGGGGAAUAUUGCACAAUGGGCGGAAGCCUGAUGCAGCAACGCCGCGUGCGGGAUGACGGCCUUCGGGUUGUAAACCGCUUUCGCCUGUGACGAAGCGUGAGUGACGGUAAUGGGUAAAGAAGCACCGGCUAACUACGUG